rnacentral:sRNA from 1 species
GUGCAAGCAGUUCCAGGGAAGCCUAACAUCUGGAGCCCUGUGGCAGGAAGCCUAAGACUGAGAGGGAGGGAACAAAGUCCCUGGUACUGGCAGGAGCAGGACCUUGACAGCAACAGGAAAAACAGGGAGGAGUCUGCAGGAGUAAUUAUGGAGGAGAAAGUUUUUGAGCAUAAAGUAUUUAGGAGAACCACGUGACCAAAGCAAUGGUUUGGUGGGCGGAUCUAGGCGACCAACUCAAGAGAUCCAGGCCAGAGUGACAGGAGCAUCUACCAAUCGUCUUGCUACUUUCCGGUUUGUACGUCCUAAUUCUCUCUGGACCCGGAAAAGUUUCCUCAGACACAGUUCCUUGGUUGUGGGCUUGGUAGUGUCAGCAGUCUGCAGAAUUGCAGCGGGAACCGCGGCCUGGAGUCCCUGGAACCUCCCAGGGGUCAUGCUCCUCAGCCAGUUCUGAGAGCCCUGGAUGGUGAUUCUGAGAGCCCUGGAUGGUGAUUCUGAGAGCCCUGGAUGGUGAAGACAGGAAACUGUAGCAACUUAUCCAG